rnacentral:rRNA from 1 species
CAGCGAAAUGCGAUAAGUAAUGUGAAUUGCAGAAUUCAGUGAAUCAUCGAAUCUUUGAACGCACAUUGCGCCCUUUGGUAUUCCAUAGGGCAUGCCUGUUCGAGCGUCACUAACAACCCCAUCACAAAAGAGUGUGGUAUUGGCAGAAGUGGGUAGGGCUAGCAGUGCUGGCCCCCACUCUGCUGGAAUGAAUAGGCCGGAAAUGUAGACCAUGGUAACAGACUUUCAGAGUAUUUUGCAAUGCUAAAUUAGUUUGUAGGCUUGGUCAGAAUCUAGGCCAUUUGUACCCCCAUUCUGCGUAAAGCAGUAAAUGUUGACCUCGGAUCAGGUAGGGAUACCCGCUGAACUUAAGCAUAUCAAUAAGCGGAGGAAAAGAAACCAACAGGGAUUGCCUUAGUAACGGCGAGUGAAGCGGCAAAAGCUCAAAUUUGAAAUCUGACACCUUUGGUGUUCGAGUUGUAAUUUGGAGAGGCAUCUUCUGGAGGGGCCCAGCCUAUGUGCCUUGGAACAGGACGUCAUAGAGGGUGAGAAUCCCGUACUUGACUGGAUGUUCCCUCCUGUAUGUAGUGUCUUCUACGAGUCGAGUUGUUUGGGAAUGCAGCUCAAAAUGGGUGGUAAAUUUCAUCUAAAGCUAAAUAUUGGCGAGAGACCGAUAGCGCACAAGUAGAGUGAUCGAAAGAUGAAAAGCACUUUGAAAAUAGAGUCAAACAGUACGUGAAAUUGUUGAAGGGGAAGCGCUUGGGACCUAUCCUGGCCAUUGACGUUCAUCCACGCCCUCCGGGGGGCAUUGCACUCGUCUUUGGGCCGGGCCAGCAUGGGUUGGGACGGUGGGAUAAAGGCUGGGGAAAUGUGACUCCUUUAUGGAGUGUUAUAGUCCCCGGUGGCAUGCCAUCAGUCCCGACCGAGGAUCGCGCA